rnacentral:rRNA from 1 species
AUUGAACGCUGGCGGCAGGCCUAACACAUGCAAGUCGAACGAGUGGCGGACGGGUGAGUAAUGUCUGGGAAACUGCCUGAUGGAGGGGGAUAACUACUGGAAACGGUAGCUAAUACCGCAUACCAUCAGAUGUGCCCAGGGGGGAUUAGCUUGUUGGUGGGGUAACGGCUAACCAAGGCGACGAUCCCUAGCUGGUCUGCGAGGCUGACCAGCAACACUGGAACUGAGACACGGGCAAGACUCCUACGUGAGACAGCAGUGGGGAAUAUUGCACAAUGGGCGAAAGCCUGAUGCAGCCAUGCCGGGUGUAUGAAGAAGGCCUUCGGGUUGUAAAGUACGUUCAGCGGGGAGGCGUUACCCGCAGAAGAAGCACCGGCUAACUCCGUGCCAGCAGCCGCGGUAAUUC